UACGGAGGGUGCAAGCGUUGUCCGGAUUUAUUGGGUUUAAAGGGUGCGUAGGCGGCUGUUUAAGUCAGUGGUGAAAGACUCCGGCUCAACCGGAGCAGUGCCAUUGAUACUGGAUAGCUUGAGUGUUGGAGGGGUACAUGGAAUUGAUGGUGUAGCGGUGAAAUGCAUAGAUACCAUCAGGAACACCGAUAGCGAAGGCAUUGUACUGGCCAACAACUGACGCUGAGGCACGAAAGCAUGGGGAGCGAACAGGAUUAGAAACCCCCGUAGUCC
rnacentral:rRNA from 1 species